rnacentral:ncRNA from 1 species
GAUUGAACAGAGCCUUUGCCGAAUGAUUCUUCUCCCAUAAUUAGCGCUCUUUUAUGGUCCUGAAGCGCGCCUGCAACAAUCUCAGAAGCUGAUGCAGAGCCUCUAUUCAUUAAUACUACAAUAGGCGCACCAUUUAAGAUAUCUCCUGGUUUUGUUGGGAAUGAACUAUUAGAAGUUGGCGUUCUGCCUUCUGUGUAAACCACAAUACCAGGCUCAUCAAUAAACAGAUUGGAUAUGUCAAUUGACGAGUCCAAGAGUCCGCCUGGAUUAUUUCUUA